GGUCGCUUAGCUCAGUUGGUUAGAGCGUGGUGCUAAUAACGCCAAGGUCGCGAGUUCGACCCUCGUAGUGACCAG
rnacentral:tRNA from 2 species